rnacentral:tRNA from 1 species
GCCGAGGUAGCUCAGGGGUAGAGCAAAGGACUGAAAAUCCUUGUGUCGGGAGUUCAAAUCUCCCCCUCGGCACCA